UGAUUGAGUCGUGUCAAUAUC
rnacentral:miRNA from 1 species